rnacentral:rRNA from 1 species
GACGAACGCUGGCGGCGUGCCUAACACAUGCAAGUCGAGCGGGGUAGAGAGCUUCGGUUUUCUACUUAGUGGCGAACGGGUGAGUAACGCGUGAGGAACCUGCCUCUCAGUGGGGGACAACAGUUGGAAACGACUGCUAAUACCGCAUAAUAUGUACGGAUCGCAUGGUCUGUACAUCAAAGAUUUAUUGCUGAGAGAUGGCCUCGCGUCUGAUUAGGUAGUUGGUGAGGUAACGGCUCACCAAGCCGACGAUCAGUAGGGGUUCUGAGAGGAAGGUCCCCCACAUUGGAACUGAGACACGGUCCAAACUCCUACGGGAGCAGCAGUGAGGAAUAUUGGGUCAAUGGACGCAAGUCUGAACCAGCCAAGUCGCGUGAAGGAUGAAGGUUCUAUGGAUUGUAAAC